rnacentral:rRNA from 1 species
UAGGGAAUCUUCGGCAAUGGACGAAAGUCUGACCGAGCAACGCCGCGUGAGUGAAGAAGGUUUUCGGAUCGUAAAACUCUGUUGUUAGAGAAGAACAAGGACGUUAGUAACUGAACGUCCCCUGACGGUAUCUAACCAGAAAGCCACGGCUAACUACGUGCCAGCAGCCGCGGUAAUACGUAGGUGGCAAGCGUUGUCCGGAUUUAUUGGGCGUAAAGCGAGCGCAGGCGGUUUCUUAAGUCUGAUGUGAAAGCCCCCGGCUCAACCGGGGAGGGUCAUGGGAAACUGGGAGUCUGGGGUGCAGAAGAGGAGAGUGGAAUUCCAUGUGUAGCGGUGAAAUGCGUAGUUAUAUGGAGGAACACCAGUGGCGAAGGCGGCUCUCUGGUCUGUAACUGACGCUGAGGCUCGAAAGCGUGGGGAGCAAACAGG